UACGUAGGGUGCGAGCGUUGUCCGGAAUUAUUGGGCGUAAAGGGCUCGUAGGCGGUCUGUCGCGUCGGGAGUGAAAACUCAGGGCUUAACCCUGAGCCUGCUUCCGAUACGGGCAGACUAGAGGUAUGCAGGGGAGAACGGAAUUCCUGGUGUAGCGGUGGAAUGCGCAGAUAUCAGGAGGAACACCGGUGGCGAAGGCGGCUCACUGGCCCGUAACUGACGCUGAGGUGCGAAAGCGUGGGGAGCAAACAGG
rnacentral:rRNA from 1 species